rnacentral:tRNA from 1 species
UGGGGAAUAGUCUAACGGUAGGACAGCGGACUCUGAAUCCGUCAGUGAAGGUUCGAAUCCUUCUUCCCCAG